UGGGGGAAACCCUGAUGCAGCCAUGCCGCGUGUGUGAAGAAGGCCUUCGGGUUGUAAAGCACUUUCAGCGAGGAGGAAAGGUUGGCGCCUAAUACGUGUCAACUGUGACGUUACUCGCAGAAGAAGCACCGGCUAACUCCGUGCCAGCAGCCGCGGUAAUACGGAGGGUGCAAGCGUUAAUCGGAAUUACUGGGCGUAAAGCGCACGCAGGCGGUUGGAUAA
rnacentral:rRNA from 1 species